rnacentral:rRNA from 1 species
CCUACGGGUGGCAGCAGUAGGGAAUCUUUCACAAUGGGCGAAAGCCUGAUGGAGCAACGCCGCGUGCAGGAUGAAGGCCCUCGGGUUGUAAACUGCUUUUAUAAGCGAGAAAUAUGAUGGUAACUUAUGAAUAAGGAUCGGCUAACUACGUGCCAGCAGCCGCGGUCAUACGUAGGAUCCGAGCAUUAUCCGGAGUGACUGGGUGUAAAGAGUUGCGUAGGUGGCAUAAUAAGUAGCUAGUGAAAUCUGGUGGCUCAACCAUUCAGACUAUUAGCUAAACUGUUAAGCUCGAGACCGUUAGGGGUAACUGGAAUUUCUAGUGUAGGAGUGAAAUGCGUAGAUAUUAGAAGGAACACCGAUAGCGUAGGCAGGUUACUGAGACGGUUCUGACACUGAGGCACGAAAGCGUAGGGAGCAAACGGGAUUAGAUACCCCUGUAGUC